rnacentral:rRNA from 1 species
AGUGAACGCUGGCGGCGUGCCUAAUACAUGCAAGUCGAACGAACGAAUAAGACCUUGCUCUUAUACGUUAGUGGCGCACGGGUGAGUAAUAUAUAGCUAAUCUGCCUCUUAGUAGAGGAUAACAGUCGGAAACGAUUGCUAAUACUCUAUACUUCUGCUUUACAUAAGUAAAGUAGAGAAAGUUUUUCGCUAAGAGAUGAGGCUAUACUGUAUCAGCUAGUUGGUAAGGUAACGGCUUACCAAGGCUAUGACGCAUAACUGGUCUGAGAGGAUGAUCAGUCACAUUGGAACUGAGACACGGUCCAAACACCUACGGGAGGCAGCAGUAGGGAAUAUUGCGGAAUGGGGGAAACCCUGACGCAGCAACGGCGCGUGGAGGAUGACACUUGUCGGAGCGUAAACUCCUUUUAUCGGGAAAGAAUAAUGACGGUACCGGAUGAAUAAGCACCGGCUAACUCCGUG